UACUGACGCAAAGGCAGGAAAGAUACGGUU
rnacentral:piRNA from 1 species